rnacentral:sRNA from 1 species
CACGGCACCCGGCCCUUUUGCUUUUUAUAAAUUGAUACAUAAUAUGUAUCACUUGGAAGUAAGGGAAAUCUGAAGUGAACUAUUUUCCUAUGCUCCAGAAAUAUCUCUCUACAAACACUUAACACAUUAGUUACAGAUCUUUUUCCCAUUCUUUGAAAUAAGGCCCCAAAUAAUCUCCAUCAGAACAGUUAGCUUAAUGUGAAUUACUUUAUAUAUUUGAAAUUAAAAAAAGACAUAUAUUGUAAGUAAUGUAUGGCUCACAUUUUAAUGAUGCAGCCUUGCUUCUUCCUUAAUUAGACUGAGGAGAAGAAAGUUAAUAUAGAUGGUAACUAUAACUAUAUUCUCUUUUCAAAGAAAUAAUAAUAUAUUUAAAGUUAGUAAUAUAUGUGUUCCUAAACAUGAUUUGCAAUUUCUUACAGAUUUGUGGGAUCACUGGGUACCAUCAUCAUAAAAUGUAAAGAUUUUCGAAUUAUUCAGUUGGAUAUUCCCGGAAUGGAGGAGUGCUUGAAUAUAGCCAGUUCCAUUGAGGCAUUGUCUACUCUGGACUCCAUCACUCUGAUGUACCCUUUCUUUUACCGUCCUAUGUUUGAAGUGAUAGAAGAUGGCUGGCAUUCCUUCCUUCCUGAGCAAGAAUUUGAACUCUAUUCCUCAGCUGUGAGUUAACUUUUGAGAACUGUGGAUUAUGAGAAGUAACCCAAUACCUUAUUUGACUUGUGAAAAUGAUCACUUCUUUUGAAGAGUAAUAAGGUGAAGUUGACUUAUCUAUUCCUAAUCUUAAUAUAUUUAAAAGGAUUGAAGCCAUGCAGAGUAUGAUCUCUGAUCACAAAGGAAUUAGAUUAAUAAUCAGUAAUACUAAGAUAUCUAGGAAUACCCCCAAGUAUUUCUAAAUUGAACAGAAUGUUUGUAAAUAAUCUGCAUGUCAAAGAAAUUAGAAAACAUUUUGAAGUGAGUGAUAAUGGUAACGUAACAUAUUGAAAUUUGUGGAAUACAGACAGCUAAGGCAGUGUUUAGAGAUAAACUUACAGCUUUAAAAUUUUUACUAGAAAGGAAAGUCUAAAAUUAUUGACCUAAGCACCAAUUUAAGAAGCUAGAAAAAAAAAGCAAAGUAACUAGAGAGAAAAAAUAAUAAAAAUAAGAGCAGAAAGCAAUAAAAUAACUAGAAUAAGUAAGUUUAGCAAAGUUGGUUCAUAUAAGAUCGGUAUACAAAAACGAAUUGAAUUGGCAACAAGCGAUCUGACAAUGAAUAAAAUAUUUACGAAUAAAUUUAACAAAAGAAAUUCACG